rnacentral:rRNA from 1 species
GGGUGCGAUCAUACUAGCGUUAAUGCAUCAGAUCCUAUCAAAACUCAGUAGUUAAGUGCGUUUGGGCUAGAGUAGUACUGGGAUGGGUGAACUCUCAUAAAGUCUUAGUGUUGCACCCU